CCUACGGGUGGCUGCAGUGGGGAAUAUUGGACAAUGGGCGCAAGCCUGAUCCAGCCAUGCCGCGUGUGUGAAGAAGGCCUUCGGGUUGUAAAGCACUUUCAGUGGGGAAGAAAGCCUUGGGGCUAAUACCCUCGAGGAAGGACAUCACCCACAGAAGAAGCACCGGCUAACUCCGUGCCAGCAGCCGCGGUAAUACGGAGGGUGCGAGCGUUAAUCGGAAUUACUGGGCGUAAAGCGCGCGUAGGCGGUCUGAUAAGCCGGUUGUGAAAGCCCCGGGCUCAACCUGGGAACGGCAUCCGGAACUGUCAGGCUAGAGUGCAGGAGAGGAAGGUAGAAUUCCCGGUGUAGCAGUGAAAUGCGUAGAGAUCGGGAGGAAUACCAGUGGCGAAGGCGGCCUUCUGGACUGACACUGACGCUGAGGUGCGAAAGCGUGGGUAGCAAACAGGAUUAGAUACCCCAGUAGUC
rnacentral:rRNA from 1 species